ACCGUUGAAGACGACGACGUUGAUAGGUCGGGUGUGUAAGCGCAGCGAUGCGUUGAGCUAACCGAUACUAAUGAACCGUGAGGCUUAACCUU
rnacentral:rRNA from 1 species